AUACGUAGGGGGCAAGCGUUAUCCGGAUUUACUGGGUGUAAAGGGAGCGUAGACGGAAGGCCAAGUCUGAUGUGAAAGCCCGCGGCUCAACUGCGGGACUGCAUUGGAAACUGGUCAUCUGGAGUGCAGGAGGGGUAAGCGGAAUUCCUAGUGUAGCGGUGGAAUGCGUAGAUAUUGGGAGGAACACCGGUGGCGAAGGCGGCUUACUGGACUGUAACUGACGUUGAGGCUCGAAAGCACGGGGAGCAAACAGGAUUAGAUACCCUGGUAGUCCGUGCCGUAAACGAUGAAUACUAGGUGUAGGGGGUAUCGACUCCCUCUGUGCCGCAGUUAACACAUUAAGUAUUCCACCUGGGGAGUACGGCCGCAAGGUUGAAACUCAAAGGAAUUGGCGGGG
rnacentral:rRNA from 1 species